UCUAGUAACUUACUGCUUUAAGAGUCACC
rnacentral:piRNA from 1 species